GGAAGAGCCAUAGUUCAGUGGUAGAGCAUCUGCUUUGCAUUUAGGAGGUCCCAGGUUCAAUCCCUCAGCUCUCCA